UGGUGAAGGCAUGAAAGGUAGAAUAGUCACUAAAACAAGCCGUAGAGAAAAGAAGAAGAGAGAGCCAACAGAAAAGUACCAUGAGUUCACCCCUAAGACAAGUGCAACUCCUUAGUGCAAACGGGAGACACAUGAACAAGGGGAAGGGCUCCUCAAAUCUUUACGGCAACAUAAGGAUACCCCAGUGCUGAGAAUGGAUGACUGCAUCACAGACCAUACCCAGAGCCCUGUGAUCUGAAGAGGUCACCCUUAAAGUGUUUGUAAUGAAAAGAAGGAAGACUGCUUGGAUUGAGUCCCACUGUAAACCCAUAACACUGCAAACAGAAGCCUUCUCCACACCUGUUCUAGGAGAAUCCUGAGUGUAUUGGACGCGGGAAGGACUACCAGGCUGUGCAGAAUAUAGGGAUAAUUAAUAUCGUUCAGCAGAUUUCUGCCACAAGACGAGCACGUAGAUUUGGCUCAGUGUAAGUAAUGCCCUGUGGUUCAGAGUAUGUACACGUUUAUCAAGACCAUGCAGACCUUAGUUAUUACCGACCCUACAGAACGGAACCUGUGUGUGAAGGCUCACUGCUCAAGUGCAACACUUGGUCCUGUUUAAGUCAACAGGAGUUUUGCCAUUGACUUCGGUGACGGCAGGACUUCACUCUAUAACAAAUGGCAGGUAGAUGUACAUACAAGAAGAAAUAAAUAUUAAGGCAAGGAAAAAGAUUUCAGUUUGCAGAUAUCAACUUAUAAAUGACAAUGGGCAAAAAUUACAUUAAAAAUUCCUUGACAAGGGCCUUUAAAUUCAAAUGGCACUUGGCUUAAAAAAAUCCACAAAAUAAACGGGGAAACUGCCCUGUUCACUGCUAGGAAAAAGCCAAACUAUGGGACUAACUGAAAGACAGCUGCUUUCUGAUGUAAUUCAACCCGUAACACCAUGAUACAAUGGAGCAGGGUGUUGGGAAACCUAAUUCCCUUUUCUGGACUGCUUUAAUAAUGCUGCAAAGAAGAGAUGUACCAGUUGCCAAAUUAAAUGGAUCAAGAAAGUUCUCUGUAACUUAAAAACAGGAAAUAAACUUAGAAACAUUUCAACUAUCAGCCCCUCUUCAGGAAUGAUUAGCAAACACAAAGCAGGAUUAACUCCAAUGUAAGAGUUGCCAGACUGCUUUGAUGAUUAAUUUGGGCAGUGCCAAACGCAAGGGACGGUAUGUGCUAUACAUGCAGUGUGCUGCAAUUUUGUUUCUCUAGGAAGCUUGUUCCAGCUAUUACCAUGUGGUCCUGAAAGGGCAUGUAAAUGCGUUUUCCUUUUGUCCUUGGGUGCAGGACAAAGAUUGUCCCACUGCAGAAGUUUCCAUCUGGUUAUAACAGUCCUGGGUAGAUGCACCAUGGUAGGAACACAUUUGUUAGUAAUGCAUAUGAUAAGCAGAGAUAUCUUUAGGGUGACUCCCUGCACAAAGAAGCAUGUUUAGGAAGGAAGGAAGCCCCUGUUCUCCCAC